AUCGAUGAAGAACGCAGCGAAAUGCGAUAAGUAAUGUGAAUUGCAGAAUUCAGUGAAUCAUCGAAUCUUUGAACGCACAUUGCGCCCCCUGGUAUUCCGGGGGGCAUGCCUGUUCGAGCGUCAUUUCACCACUCAAGCCUCGCUUGGUAUUGGGCAACGCGGUCCGCCGCGUGCCUCAAAUCGACCGGCUGGGUCUUCUGUCCCCUAAGCGUUGUGGAAACUAUUCGCUAAAGGGUGUUCGGGAGGCUACGCCGUAAAACAACCCCAUUUCUAAGGUUGACCUCGGAUCAGGUAGGGAUACCCGCUGAACUUAAGCAUAUCAAUAAGCGGAGGAAAAGAAACCAACAGGGAUUGCUCUAGUAACGGCGAGUGAAGCAGCAAUAGCUCAAAUUUGAAAUCUGGCGUCUUCGGCGUCCGAGUUGUAAUUUGUAGAGGAUGCUUCUGAGUAACCACCGACCUAAGUUCCUUGGAACAGGACGUCAUAGAGGGUGAGAAUCCCGUAUGCGGUCGGAAAGGUGCUCUACACGUAGCUCCUUCGACGAGUCGAGUUGUUUGGGAAUGCAGCUCUAAAUGGGAGGUAAAUUUCUUCUAAAGCUAAAUAUUGGCCAGAGACCGAUAGCGCACAAGUAGAGUGAUCGAAAGAUGAAAAGCACUUUGGAAAGAGAGUUAAAAAGCACGUGAAAUUGUUAAAAGGGAAGGGAUUGCAACCAGACUUGCUCGCGGUGUUCCGCCGGUCUUCUGACCGGUCUACUCGCCGCGUUGCAGGCCAGCAUCGUCUGGUGCCGCUGGAUAAGACUUGAGGAAUGUAGCUCCCUCGGGAGUGUUAUAGCCUCUUGUGAUGCAGCGAGCGCCGGGCGAGGUCCGCGCUUCGGCUAGGAUGCUGGCGUAAUGGUCGUAAUCCGCCCGUCUUGAAACACGG
rnacentral:rRNA from 1 species